GUCCGGAAUUAUUGGGCGUAAAGAGCUCGUAGGCGGUUUGUUGCGUCGGCUGUGAAAACCUGAGGCUCAACCUCAGGCCUGCAGUCGAUACGAGCAGACUAGAGUGUUGCAGGGGAGACUGGAAUUCCUGGUGUAGCGGUGAAAUGCGCAGAUAUCAGGAGGAACACCGGUGGCGAAGGCGGGUCUCUGGGCAACAACUGACGCUGAGGAGCGAAAGCGUGGGGAGCGAACAGGAUUAGAUACCCUGGUAGUCCACGCCGUAAACGUUGGGCGCUAGGUGUGGGGCUCAUUCCACGAGUUCCGUGCCGCAGCUAACGCAUUAAGCGCCCCGCCUGGGGAGUACGGCCGCAAGGCUAAAACUCAAAGGAAUUGACGGGGGCCCGCACAAGCGGCGGAGCAUGUUGCUUAAUUCGAUGCAACGCGAAGAACCUUACCUAGGCUUGACAUGCACGGAAAUCCUCCAGAGAUGGUGGGUCCGCAAGGGUCGUGCACAGGUGGUGCAUGGUUGUCGUCAGCUCGUGUCGUGAGAUGUUGGGUUAAGUCCCGCAACGAGCGCAACCCUCGUUCUAUGUUGCCAGCACGUAAUGGUGGGGACUCAUAGGAGACUGCCGGGGUCAACUCGGAGGAAGGUGGGGAUGACGUCAAAUCAUCAUGCCCCUUAUGUCUAGGGCUGCAAACAUGCUACAAUGGCCGGUACAAAGGGCUGCGAUACCGCGAGGUGGAGCGAAUCCCAAAAAGCCGGUCUCAGUUCGGAUUGGGGUCUGCAACUCGACCCCAUGAAGUUGGAGUCGCUAGUAAUCGCAGAUCAGCAACGCUGCGGUGAAU
rnacentral:rRNA from 1 species